UGUUUUAAGACUAGUGUGAGCAAGUCUUUGAUGCCAGAUGUCCUCUCCAACCUCUGGUUGAGUUUGUGUGAAGAAGACCUCUGCAACUUUAGGUUCCACCUGGGACUAUUAAAACAUCAUUCAGAGGUUCUGAGGUAAUGUGAGCUGUAGCCCCUGUAUCUGGGUACCAUUCCGAGCCAUAUGGUUCUUCAAUAUGAACUGCUGCCAAUGCAGUUGGUAUUUCCUC